rnacentral:lncRNA from 1 species
CCGAGACACAGAAAGGUAGUUUACUUACCAUCUUACAGAGCUUAGGAACCAGUGAUAAGCGGACACACCGGUAACUGUUUUGAGUGCCUCUAUGAAGCGCAGGAAAACUAAAUGCUGUGGUUGGACAAUCAACCCAGAGCCUCUUCUCCUCCUCCAAGUUUCCAAGCAUUUAUUUUCUGUAUUUUUAUUCACGGGGCCAGAUUCUUCUCUCAGUCUGGCAAGAGUUUACAUGCUACAAAUAGCUACCCUUGAAUGAGUGGGAGUUUUCUAGGCUCUCGGAGAAGCCAAUUUGGGGCUGUUAUUUAGCUCCUGUCAAAGCCUCGCUGAGACAACUGAUAUUUGAGAAAUAGAGUUUAUAGAUGUACAGUCUCCUAUGUGGGCUAAAGCUAUAUCCUUGAUCACCAGAAAGCUCUAAAUGUGGUGCUCAUUAGUUUACCCUUUCCCAGUGGAAGUUCUUUCAUGAAUCAUGUUUUAGUGCUAGGCCUUUAUCUUUUUUUUUUUUUUUUUUAAAGCAUUUAAUACUGGAAACAGUGAAGUGAAGAAUAUUUCUGAAGCUUCUGUAAAAACUGCUUAAAGAUACUGCCCAUUAUGUUGUUCAAUGUUCCUUGCGCAAGAACUCAUGUGAUGAAUUCCUUUGAAAAUUUAUUACCAGGAAAAAGUUUGUCUCUACUGCAGAAGUGAAAGUUUUGCCUUUUUUCAGACAACGAACGCCAUAUCCUUUAUUGUUUCUCUUUAUGCAUUGGCUGUCAGGAAGCUCAGAAGUAAAGUAAGUGCUGUGUCAUUAGAAGAGAGAGUAAGAAAUACCAGGCAGUUUCCAGGAGGAGCAUAGGAGUGAAUCUUUGUAUUCCUGUUAUCUGUUCACUUGCUGAUGCAAUGGACAUUUACUAAAGGGCCACUGUGUUCCAGACACCAUGCCAAAGGUUGGGGAGAAGAUGACGGUCCUUACCCUGAAACGGAUUAUGGUCUGGGAGGGGGACAAGAUAUAUACGCGAAUGAAUCUGCCAAUGGGCUGCAGGAGGUGCUGUAUUGAGUGCAAUGCCCAUCACCCUGUAAUCUGGCUGUAUGAGUCCGAGUUCAGUCAAGGAAAGAGAGCAACCAUGUGAGUGUCAUGGGAUGAGGGGCUUGUUCGGGGUCGAGCUGGGGCUGGCUCAUGAGCUCCUGAGAGCACUUGUGCACCUU